GAUGAACGCUAGCUACAGGCUUAACACAUGCAAGUCGCAGGGAAACAUGAGGAAAGCUUGCUUUCCUUGAUGACGACUGGCGCACGGGUGAGUAACGCGUAUCCAACCUUCCCAUAACUACGGGAUAACCCGUUGAAAGACGGCCUAAUACCGUAUGAUAUCGUUUGCUGACAUCAAAUAACGAUUAAAGGUUUAGCGGUUAUGGAUGGGGAUGCGUCUGAUUAGCUUGUUGGCGGGGUAACGGCCCACCAAGGCGACGAUCAGUAGGGGUUCUGAGAGGAAGGUCCCCCACAUUGGAACUGAGACACGGUCCACACUCCUACGGGAGGCAGCAGUGAGGAAUAUUGGUCAAUGGGCGAGAGCCUGAACCAGCCAAGUAGCGUGCAGGAUGACGGCCCUAUGGGUUGUAAACUGCUUUUAUGUGAGGAUAAAGUGCGUGACGUGUCAUGCAUUGAAGGUACCACAUGAAUAAGGACCGGCUAAGUCCGUG
rnacentral:rRNA from 1 species